rnacentral:rRNA from 1 species
GAUGAACGCUGGCGGCGUGCCUAAUACAUGCAAGUCGAGCGAAGCGGGGACGGGUGAGUAACACGUGGAUAACCUCCUAUAAGACUGGGAUAACUUCGGGAAACCGGAUCUAAACCGGAUACUUCUAGUAGGAUCCUCGCUGCAUUAGCUAGUUUGUAAGGUAACGGCUUCCCAAGUCAACAAUGCAUAGCCGACCUGAGAGGGUGAUCGGCAACACUGGAACUGAGACACGGUCCAGACUCCUACGGGAGGCAGCAGUAGGGAAUCUUACGCAAUGGGCGAAAGCCUGACGGGGCAACGCCGCGUGAGUGAUGAAGGUCUUCGGAUCGUAAAACUCUGUUAUUAGGGAAGCGGUACCUAAUCAGAAAGCCACGGCUAACUACGUGCCAGCAGCCGCGGUAAUUC